rnacentral:rRNA from 1 species
AUGAACGCUAGCGACAGGCUUAACACAUGCAAGUCGAGGGGCAGCACAGGUAGCAAUACCGGGUGGCGACCGGCGCACGGGUGAGUAACGCGUAUGCAACUUGCCUAUCAGAGGGGGAUAACCCGGCGAAAGUCGGACUAAUACCGCAUGAAGCAGGGAUCCCGCAUGGGAAUAUUUGCUAAAGAUUCAUCGCUGAUAGAUAGGCAUGCGUUCCAUUAGGCAGUUGGCGGGGUAACGGCCCACCAAACCGACGAUGGAUAGGGGUUCUGAGAGGAAGGUCCCCCACAUUGGUACUGAGACACGGACCAAACUCCUACGGGAGGCAGCAGUGAGGAAUAUUGGUCAAUGGCCGAGAGGCUGAACCAGCCAAGUCGCGUGAGGGAUGAAGGUUCUAUGGAUCGUAAACCUCUUUUAUAAGGGAAUAAAGUGCGGGACGUGUCCCGUUUUGUAUGUACCUUAUGAAUAAGGAUCGGCUAACUCCGUGCCAGCAGCCGCGGUAAUACGGAGGAUCCGAGCGUUAUCCGGAUUUAUUGGGUUUAAAGGGUGCGUAGGCGGCCUUUUAAGUCAGCGGUGAAAGUCUGUGGCUCAACCAUAGAAUUGCCGUUGAAACUGGGGGGCUUGAGUAUGUUUGAGGCAGGCGGAAUGCGUGGUGUAGCGGUGAAAUGCAUAGAUAUCACGCAGAACCCCGAUUGCGAAGGCAGCCUGCCAAGCCAUGACUGACGCUGAUGCACGAAAGCGUGGGGAUCAAACAGGAUUAGAUACCCUGGUAGUCCACGCAGUAAACGAUGAUCACUAGCUGUUUGCGAUACACUGUAAGCGGCACAGCGAAAGCGUUAAGUGAUCCACCUGGGGAGUACGCCGGCAACGGUGAAACUCAAAGGAAUUGACGGGGGCCCGCACAAGCGGAGGAACAUGUGGUUUAAUUCGAUGAUACGCGAGGAACCUUACCCGGGUUUGAACGCAUUCGGACCGAGGUGGAAACACCUUUUCUAGCAAUAGCCGUUUGCGAGGUGCUGCAUGGUUGUCGUCAGCUCGUGCCGUGAGGUGUCGGCUUAAGUGCCAUAACGAGCGCAACCCUUGCCACUAGUUACUAACAGGUAAAGCUGAGGACUCUGGUGGGACUGCCAGCGUAAGCUGCGAGGAAGGCGGGGAUGACGUCAAAUCAGCACGGCCCUUACAUCCGGGGCGACACACGUGUUACAAUGGCGUGGACAAAGGGAAGCCACCUGGCGACAGGGAGCGAAUCCCCAAACCACGUCUCAGUUCGGAUCGGAGUCUGCAACCCGACUCCGUGAAGCUGGAUUCGCUAGUAAUCGCGCAUCAGCCAUGGCGCGGUGAAUACGUUCCCGGGCCUUGUACACACCGCCCGUCAAGCCAUGAAAGCCGGGGGUACCUGAAGUACGUAACCGCAAGGAGCGUCCUAGGGUAAAACUGGUGAUUGGGGCU